rnacentral:rRNA from 1 species
UACGGAGGGGGCUAGCGUUGUUCGGAAUUACUGGGCGUAAAGGGCGCGUAGGCGGCCGGCUAAGUCGAACGUGAAAUCCCCGGGCUCAACCCGGGAACUGCGUCCGAUACUGGUCGGCUUGAAUUCGGGAGAGGGAUGCGGAAUUCCAGGUGUAGCGGUGAAAUGCGUAGAUAUCUGGAGGAACACCGGUGGCGAAGGCGGCAUCCUGGACCGACAUUGACGCUGAGGCGCGAAAGCCAGGGGAGCAAACGGG